AGUGAACGCUGGCGGUAGGCCUAACACAUGCAAGUCGAACGGCAGCACAGUAAGAGCUUGCUCUUAUGGGUGGCGAGUGGCGGACGGGUGAGGAAUACAUCGGAAUCUACUUUUUCGUGGGGGAUAACGUAGGGAAACUUACGCUAAUACCGCAUACGACCUACGGGUGAAAGCAGGGGACCUUCGGGCCUUGCGCGAUUGAAUGGGCCGAUGUCGGAUUAGCUAGUUGGCGGGGUAAAGGCCCACCAAGGCGACGAUCCGUAGCUGGUCUGAGAGGAUGAUCAGCCACACUGGAACUGAGACACGGUCCAGACUCCUACGGGAGGCAGCAGUGGGGAAUAUUGGACAAUGGGCGCAAGCCUGAUCCAGCCAUACCGCGUGGGUGAAGAAGGCCUUCGGGUUGUAAAGCCCUUUUGUUGGGAAAGAAAUCCAGCCGGCUAAUACCUGGUUGGGAUGACGGUACCCAAAGAAUAAGCACCGGCUAACUUCGUGCCAGCCGCCGCCGUAAAAC
rnacentral:rRNA from 1 species